UGCCGUGACAGUUGUUGAUUGCGAUUUCCACGGGCGGCUGUGUCGAUUUUGUGUCUCUCAAAUUAGUUUGGGAAAUAUUAGGCAGAAAUAGUAAAAUGUGAACAAAAAUAACAACGUAUUUACGUGAAAUGUUACAAAAAUUGCAAUCUUUUGCAACUACCAAUAAUAAAUAAUUAAUAAUUAAAAUAAUUAACUUAGAAAUAUUGUUUUAUCCCAUUGAAAAUGGGUAAAGAGCGUAUACUGUCUUUGUGAAAUGUAUGUAACAGGCAGAAGGUAGUAUCUCUGAGCCCAUAAAUAUCAUUUAUUCUUCAAUAUUCGGGUCGAUCCCCCAUGGUAAUGGAGCUUACAAAAGCUAAAGGAUAUUUGCUUGAAUACCUGCCCCGUUAUACCGAAAAUUCAAAGCUCCAAGCAAAGCUCAGCUAUUAGAUACCCUGUACAAAUUGGACGGCUUAUCUUUGCAACGUACACUUACCAAUAUAAUGACCAAAGUCGACAUAGAGAACUGCGACUAGGGAUCUACUGGAGAACUGAAACUGAAAAUGGAAAUGGAAACCAAUCGGUCAUUGUCAAGGCGAGUUGCACGCACGCACAUUUCAUCAAUUAAUUAUACAAGUUUAGGAUGAAAAAUAAAAGAAUAUACUCACAUAAGCCCAACCAGCCAAUGAGCUUGCACAAAAUAUGAGAAUAUGGCAAAAUA